AAAAUAUUUGUUGUCUAUGUAUUUUGCAUCUUUGUUGUUUCAAAUACAAGUACUAACACCUAAUCAUUACUUUAUAAUUGUACAGGUAUUCCAUUUCAAGUUUAUAAGGAGGCUACAAGAAGUCUAAUUUAUGAAUAGUUACCUUGUGUGUGAUGUUAAAGAGUGUAUUUUAGCAUUAUCAAUAUAAAAAUGAAGUCAUGGACAUUGUUCCAAAAUGUCUAUGAAUUAUGUCUUGAGUUGCUUUUCAAGGAGUAAGGUGUGAGAAAGUAUUGUUUAAUGAAGAAGCUAAAAAGGUGCAAUUCAAUUUUGAGACCUAGUGUUGAGUUGGUCUUUCACAUUAAACUUGAGAAAAAAAAAAAGAACUAACUUCAGUGAAUGCAUAUUAGUACUGUAGGAUCUUACUCAUUCAUGAUGGCUUUCUUUUGUUACUUAAUUGUAAUUUUCCAAAACUUGUUUUGCUUGAACAGGGUUUAUCGUUUAGGGAAAUAUCAGAUCCGAAAAUGUUUUGCCACGAAUUGACAGAUUGUAGGAGAAACAACACAGUAAAUUCGAUAAUGAAGCUUAUUUAGAUGAGAAUCACAUGCUAUUUAAAAAUAUCCAGUUCCUUGUCGAAGUAUUGCACCCUCUACUCUAUUUUAUUUCGUAUGAAAUCUCUUCUAAUUGCUGAUUUCUACACUUCUGAAACGCACACAUGGGCACAUUGCUGAUUUCGUAUGUUGUUGUUAUCGUCGUCAAAUUAGUAAUGUUUUGCUC